ACGGCGUUAGCUCAGUCAGGGAGAGCGGCGGCGAAAGCCGCAGGUCGCCGGUUCGAUUCCGGUACGCCGAC
rnacentral:tRNA from 1 species